rfam:Oryza sativa (indica cultivar-group) chromosome 9, whole genome shotgun sequence.
AAUAAGUGUAGUUUUACACUAUUUAUCUCCAACGUUUGACCAUUCGUCUUAUUUAAAAAAAAUUUUAUGAUUACUAUUUUUAUUGUUAUUAGAUGAUAAAACAUGAAUAGUAUUUUAUGUGUGACUAAUUUUUUUUAAAAAAAAUUUAAAAUUUUUCAAAUAAGACGGACGGUCAAACGUUGGACACGAAUUACCACGGCUGCACUUAUU